rnacentral:rRNA from 1 species
AGCGCAGGCGGACCGGCAAGUUGGAAGUGAAAUCCAUGGGCUUAACCCGUGAAUUGCUUUCAAAACUGCUGGCCUUGAGUAGUGCAGAGGUAGGUGGAAUUCCCGGUGUAGCGGUGGAAUGCGUAGAUAUCGGGAGGAACACCAGUGGCGAAGGCGACCUACUGGGCACCAACUGACGCUGAGGCUCGAAAGCAUGGGUAGCAAACA